rnacentral:lncRNA from 1 species
GCAGCCAAUCAGGGAAACCUACGGCCAAUUUACCCGCCAGCGUCACCAAUCAAUUGGAACGCCAAGCUCCAGCCAAUCAGGACGUCCGCCGCCGGCUGCCCAGCCAAUCAGGGUGCCCCGCACAGGGGCUCUUCCGUACGAACGUGGCGCGGGGGCUGCCUGGAGCCAUGGAGCUGAUCCCGCCGGUGGACCUGGGCACCUGGAGGGCCUCUCCAGGAGAAGUGACUCAGGCUGUGAAGGUGGCCAUCGAUGCGGGCUACCGACGCUUCGACUGCGUACUUAUACCAGAACGAGAGUGACAUAGGAGAGGGAUCCAGUGCCAGCUCCUCAAGGGCGUUGUGAGACAAGAGGACCUGCUCGUUGUCAGCAAGCCAGGGCUUCUCUCCUCCUGGAAACGUCAACGUGCCUGUGGAUCGCAGUGGCAUGGUUGUACCCAGCGACACAGACGUCCUGGACACGGAGAAAGCUGGAAUAGCUGCAAAGAGUUAGUCUCAGAAACGGGAGCUGUCACUGCUGACUCAGCACUUCCACCCAGUGUGGAAGUGAGGCUGGAGACUAGGUCGUGGCAAGGUGGCUGGAUAACGAGGUGCUCCCAUGGCAACCGGGGAGCAUGCACAGAGCCCUGUGUGGACCUUGAGGGAUCUGACUUCGGAAGGAAAAUAUAAAAGACGGUGACCACUGGACUCACCACCACCAUUUUCUCCCUCUUGCAGGGGCCUGACCUUGUGCAGGUCCAUUCCAGGAGUCAGAGCACACAGCUACUCUCCAGAGAAUCAGUGCCCAGGACGUUGGGGCUGGGGGACCUGCUGCAGCAAGGACCUCGCAGUGGGGGCUCGCACCUGCGCAGUGAGUGCAGCACCCCUCCUUGGUGGCUCCAGCUGGCGGUGGCCUGCGCCCGGCUGUCGUGGUGGCUGCAGCAGGGUGCAGAAGCCUGGCUCCCGGGACGGCCCCACCCCCCCCCCAACUCGGGCGUCCAGCGGAACGGCUGGGGGCUCCGGACCCCGCGACCCGGCCACCCCCUCGCCGACUCUGCGGACCCACCAUGCCCUCACCUCAGCAUGCCACGGAAGAGAAGCUCAGGAUCGUCCAAGUUCAGGGUGUUCGAGUUGCUUGGAGAGGUUUGGAAAGCAAAGAAUAAAUGACACAGCAAUGCAUAGUGUGUUCAUCUCCUCCCCGGUGCAAGUGUCCAGAGCUCCUGUCCCGCACUCAUGUGGUGCACGGUCUACAAGGACGGCUGGGCAGGCAGAGCAGAGCAGCUCGGUGCUACAGCCCAGUGCCCUGGCUCGGAGGCACAGCUGAGCUUUACAGCUCAGUGUGGCAGCUCUGGGUCGCACCUCACAUAAUUUGAAGACUUGAGAAACCAAAGGUCACUCAAAGAGAUGCAGAAAAACCUUCAUUACUCCAGUGGGUUUUCAGAGUUUUGCCAGAAGUGAAAGCCUCCUUAUAUAGGGAUCUACAGGGUAGGCGGCCAUGCUCACUGAAGCAGAGGGUGGGG